GCAUAUCAAUAAGCGGAGGAAAAGAAACCAACCGGGAUUGCCUCAGUAACGGCGAAGUGAAGCGGCAAGAAGCUCAAAUUUGAAAGCUGGCUCCUUCGGAAGUCCGCAUUGUAAUUUGCAGAAGGAUGCUUUGGGUGCGGCCCCCGUCUAAGUGCCCUGGAACGGGCCGUCAGAGAGGGUGAGAAUCCCGUCUUGGGCGGGGUGUCCGUGCCCGUGUAAAGCUCCUUCGACGAGUCGAGUUGUUUGGGAAUGCAGCUCUAAAUGGGUGGUAAAUUUCAUCUAAAGCUAAAUACUGGCCGGAGACCGAUAGCGCACAAGUAGAGUGAUCGAAAGAUGAAAAGCACUUUGAAAAGAGAGUUAAACAGCACGUGAAAUUGUUGAAAGGGAAGCGCUUGCGACCAGACUCGCCCGCGGGGUUCAGCCGGCAUUCGUGCCGGUGUACUUCCCCGUGGGCGGGCCAGCGUCGGUUUGGGCGGCCGGUCAAAGGCCCCUGGAAUGUAGUGCCCUCCGGGGCACCUUAUAGCCAGGGGUGCAAUGCGGCCAGCCUGGACCGAGGAACGCGCUUCGGCACGGACGCUGGCAUAAUGGUCGUAAACGACCCGUCUUGAAACACGGACCAAGGAGUCUAACAUCUACGCGAGUGUUCGGGUGUCAAACCCGUGCGCGCAGUGAAAGCGAACGGAGGUGGGAGCCCCCUUGCGGGGCGCACCAUCGACCGAUCCUGAUGUCUUCGGAUGGAUUUGAGUAAGAGCGUAGCUGUGGGGACCCGAAAGAUGGUGAACUAUGCCUGAAUAGGGCGAAGCCAGAGGAAACUCUGGUGGAGGCUCGCAGCGGUUCUGACGUGCAAAUCGAUCGUCAAAUUUGGGUAUAGGGGCGAAAGACUAAUCGAACCAUCUAGUAGCUGGUUCCUGCGA
rnacentral:rRNA from 1 species